rnacentral:rRNA from 1 species
AACUUUCAACAAAGGAUCUCUUGGCUCUCGCAUCGAUGAAGAACGUAGCAAAGCGCGAAAUGUAGUGUGAAUUGCAGAACAUUGUGAAUCAUCGAUAUCUUUGAACGCACAUUGCACCUCCCGUGAGGGAGGUAUGCCUGUCUGAGCGUCAUCA